AUUGCAGGACACUCAGCAAAAUAUGGACUCUACACCAUGAGGCAGGCACACGUUAAUACUCUAUAAGAGCACAUAAGCCUGGCUGAUCACCUGAUAACUCCUGUCAUCUGGUUGUGACAGCAUGAGGAUGUCCUCACACACCUGUAACCUAUCAGCUCAUCUGGCAGAAUAGAGAGAGAAGAGACAACACCACAUCUCCUGUUCCUGGAAAGCCUUCAGCCAUCCUUCGAUGACUGAGAACCUCCAUCAGCUCUGUCUCCUGUCUGCCUACAAUUAUUAUAAUAAAUAUUGUGUUUGACAAGUUU